UUAAGUGACUAAGCGUACAAGGUGGAUGCCUUGGCAAUCAGAGGCGAAGAAGGACGUGCUAAUCUGCGAAAAGCUUGGAUGAGUCGAUAAGAGGCGUUUAAUCCAAGAUAUCCGAAUGGGGAAACCCAGUAGAUGAAGAAUCUACUAUCAACAAGUGAAUUCAUAGCUUGUUGAGGCAAACCGGGAGAACUGAAACAUCUAAGUACCCCGAGGAAAAGAAAUCAACCGAGAUUUCGUCAGUAGCGGCGAGCGAAAGCGAAAGAGCCAGUAAGUGAUAGCAAUAUAGUUAGGAGAAUGUGUUGGGAAGCACAAUCAAAGAGGGUGAUAAUCCCGUAUCUAAAAACCAUAUUGUGGUACUAAGCUAACGAGAAGUAGGGCGGGACACGUGAUAUCCUGUUUGAAGAAGGGGGGACCAUCCUCCAAGGCUAAAUACUCCUGAUUGACCGAUAGUGAACCAGUACUGUGAAGGAAAGGCGAAAAGAACCCCGGUGAGGGGAGUGAAAUAGAACCUGAAACCUUGUACGUACAAGCAGUGGGAGCCCCAUCACUUAAUCCGAUUGGAAGGUGAUGAAAAGCAACCGCACUUAAACAAUGGUAAGAGGAGCGAAGCGAGUCAAACCACCCAAAAGAAGCAGUGGGAUUAAGUGAUGGGGUGACUGCGUACCUUUUGUAUAAUGGGUCAGCGACUUAUAUUUUGUAGCGAGGUUAACCGAAUAGGGGAGCCGAAGGGAAACCGAGUCUUAACUGGGCGUUGAGUUGCAGGGUAUAGACCCGAAACCCGGUGAUCUAGCCAUGGGCAGGUUGAAGGUUGGGUAACACUAACUGGAGGACCGAACCGACUAAUGUUGAAAAAUUAGCGGAUGACUUGUGGCUGGGGGUGAAAGGCCAAUCAAACCGGGAGAUAGCUGGUUCUCCCCGAAAUCUAUUUAGGUAGAGCCUUGAGGUGACACCUUUGGGGGUAGAGCACUGUUUCGGCUAGGGGUCCAUCCCGGAUUACCAACCCGAUGCAAACUACGAAUACCAAAGAGUGAUACUCAGGAGACACACGGCGGGUGCUAACGUCCGUCGUGGAGAGGGAAACAACCCAGACCGCCAGCUAAGGUCCCCAAGUCUAUAUUAAGUGGGAAACGAAGUGGGAAGGCUUAGACAGCUAGGAUGUUGGCUUAGAAGCAGCCAUCAUUUAAAGAAAGCGUAAUAGCUCACUAGUCGAGUCGGUCUGCGCGGAAGAUGUAACGGGGCUGAAAUAUAGCACCGAAGCUGCGGCAUCAGGCGUAUCACUAAUACGCCUGUUGGGUAGGGGAGCGUUGUGUAAGCGGAUGAAGGUUCAUCGAGAGGUGGGCUGGACGUAUCACAAGUGCGAAUGCUGACAUAAGUAACGAUAAAACGGGUGAAAAACCCGUUCGCCGGAAGACCAAGGGUUCCUGUCCAACGUUAAUCGGGGCAGGGUAAGUCGGCUCCUAAGGCGAGGCUGAAAAGCGUAGUCGAUGGGAAACAGGUUAAUAUUCCUGUACUUGGUAAAGCUGCGAUGUGGGGACGGAGUAGGUUAGGUUAUCGCACUGUUGGAUAUGUGCGUUUAAGUUGGUAGGUGGGAAGUUUAGGCAAAUCCGGACUUCCUUAACACAGAGAGAUGAUGACGAGGCUCUACGGAGCUGAAGUAACUGAUACCACACUUCCAGGAAAAGCCACUAAGCGAAAGGCUUUACUAAACCGUACUGAAAACCGACACAGGUGGUCAGGUAGAGAAUACUCAGGCGCUUGAGAGAACUCGGGUGAAGGAACUAGGCAAAAUAGCACCGUAACUUCGGGAGAAGGUGCGCCGGCGUAGAUUGUAAGGGCUAGCCCCUGAAGGUUGAACCGGUCGAAGUGACCAGCUGGCUGCAACUGUUUAUUAAAAACACAGCACUCUGCAAACACGAAAGUGGAGGUAUAGGGUGUGAUGCCUGCCCGGUGCUGGAAGGUUAAUUGAUGGUGUCAUCGCAAGAGAAGCACCUGAUCGAAGCCCCAGUAAACGGCGGCCGUAACUAUAACGGUCCUAAGGUAGCGAAAUUCCUUGUCGGGUAAGUUCCGACCUGCACGAAUGGCAUAAUGAUGGCCAGGCUGUCUCCACCCGAGACUCAGUGAAAUUGAAAUCGCCGUGAAGAUGCGGUGUACCCGCGGCUAGACGGAAAGACCCCGUGAACCUUUACUAUAGCUUGACACUGAACAUUGAAUUUUGAUGUGUAGGAUAGGUGGGAGACUAAGAAGAUGAUACGCCAGUAUUGUUGGAGUCGACCUUGAAAUACCACCCUUUAACGUUUGAUGUUCUAACGAAGAUUGCGGAACGUGGUCUCGGACAGUGUCUGGUGGGUAGUUUGACUGGGGCGGUCUCCUCCCAAAGCGUAACGGAGGAGCACGAAGGUUUGCUAAUCACGGUCGGACAUCGUGAGGUUAGUGCAAUGGUAUAAGCAAGCUUAACUGCGAGACAGACAAGUCGAGCAGGUACGAAAGUAGGUCAUAGUGAUCCGGUGGUUCUGAAUGGAAGGGCCAUCGCUCAACGGAUAAAAGGUACUCCGGGGAUAACAGGCUGAUACCGCCCAAGAGUUCAUAUCGACGGCGGUGUUUGGCACCUCGAUGUCGGCUCAUCACAUCCUGGGGCUGAAGUAGGUCCCAAGGGUAUGGCUGUUCGCCAUUUAAAGUGGUACGCGAGCUGGGUUUAGAACGUCGUGAGACAGUUCGGUCCCUAUCUGCCGUGGGCGUAGGAUGAUUGAUUGGGGCUGCUCCUAGUACGAGAGGACCGGAGUGGACGCAUCACUGGUGUUCCAGUUGUCUCGCCAGAGGCAUUGCUGGGUAGCUAAAUGCGGAAGAGAUAAGUGCUGAAAGCAUCUAAGCACGAAACUUGCCAAGAGAUGAGUCAUCCCUGACUUUAAGUCAGUAAGGGUUGUUGUAGACUACGACGUAGAUAGGUCAGGUGUGUAAGUGUAGUGAUACAUUGAGCUAACAGAUACUAAUUGCCCGAGAGGCUUAACUAU
rnacentral:rRNA from 1 species